GGAAAAUUAUACCCACAAAGGAUCUGCAAGAAAAGCUAGCAGGUUUAUUAGCAGGAGAUAAGGAAUUAUGCCUGGUAUUUUAAGGGUGCUUGGUCAAGGGAUCGCAAAUAAUAUUGAAUAUAAGCAAGAAUUCACUAACUUGAAAGCACUUUCUCAAGACAUAGAAUUUAACUUCUUGAUAAGGAUGUUAGACAGGGUGAAUUUUAAGCAUGGCUUUUAAAACUUGGAGAAAGUGAUGGUCCACAGGGGUGAAAUAGAAUUGCCUGAGUUGUCAUGGCAGGUGGUAUAGGAAGAAAUGGAAAGGCUAGGGAGUGAGCAUUCUGACAUGGAUAUAUUUUGUGAGGCCAGAGGACUCACCAAAGGACUAUGCCUAGGUUCAGAGGACCCCCUGACAUGGACACUAAGGCCAUCAGGAAUCGGGUGCAAAGGGACAAACUUCACUAAUAAAUUCAAUGGUACAUUUCCCUAAAGACUAGGGAUAAUGGUAAAGAUGCAGUCAUAGAGCUGGAUUCCUUAAUGGCCAUAGGGAUGAUAGAGCCCCAAAAUAAUAGAGGACAAUUGGCAUUGCAGAAGGCAGUCAGCUACAACUACCAUAACAACUGAUUAUGUCACUGGGGCUCCCCAGGAGGCUUGACCACAGAGUUGUGGAGUUGCUUGAUAGAACAUGGUGUCCCUAGGGACAAAUAGAUGGGCACCUAACAAGGAUGCUACCUAAUAUGUACAAUCAGAAGGCAAGACUAGAGAAAUAGGAAGUUGAGAGCUAGGCUCACUUCCUGAACCUGAGUCAAUUUUCAGAUCUGGAAUCCAUUAAAUAAACACAUGGCUGGGUUGUCAGGGGUAAGAUAUUAUAGCACUGUGACAAUUCUACCCUAAAAGGGCCUGCAGCCAGAGGUGUGCUGGAGUUUAUUCUUACCAUGUCCAAUGAGUUGAAAGAUGCAUCUCUUUGCAGAUCUUUGGUGGAAGCUUGGAAUUGGCCAUGGUGGGCAUAUUGAUGCUCUGGAAAUCAGCAAACAUUACAAAAGAGAAUGUUCCCCCCUCCCCACUACCCAAUCCCAGAGGGCUAAUUAUGAAAGUAUCUACCCAUACAUCACUGUCUAUAGCCAUUUACUCAGUGACUGUAUACUGGGAAACAUAACAAUUUCCUAUUGCAAAUAAGUAAACAUAGCACUCUAUAGGCUUCUUUGAGUUGUGACGGCAAUGCAUUCCAAACCUAGGACCACUGUUAUGAUCCAAACACCUCUUACCAGUAUUGAAUGGAGCAAGAACUGGUAAAGGCUUUGUAGCAGGUUUAACUGCAAGUGCAAUCCUGCAGACUUUUUGAUGUUAAGGUUUCCAGAUUAGAAAAGAGAUGCAGGGCAUAAUUAAUGGCAAGCCUUAGUGGGAGACCUGCAAUGGAGGCUCUGCUUCUAGAGCAGAACUAUGCUAUCUGCAGCAGACACUUUUUUAGUAAUACCUUCUGGGAUAUCACUAGGCAUCCAGUGACAACAGAAUACUUGGCUCUAAAGUACCAUGUGACUCUGUGUCCAGAACUGCUGACUUGUAACAGAGUUUUGCUGAAAUUAAGUCAUAAGGAUCAGUUUGGCCCAGCAUCAGUCCAUCAUAAGAAUGAAAUGAGGAGUUCUCUUGUGGUGAACUAGGUUAAGGUUCUGGCAUUAUUACUGCAGUGGCUUGGGUUGCUGCUGUGGCAUAGGUUUGGGUUUGCUGCCUGGCUGGGAACUUCCAUGCCGUGGGCAUGGCCCCCCAGAAAAGAAUAAAGUGAAAUGGUGCCCAUCCUCUCAAUUCCUACCCCAGAGAAGGAAUUUAUAUUUCCUGUUCUGACAAUUCUAGGGUAUGUUGGUUUAGUGAUCCUGAUCUGUGAAGUAGCAUGCUCUUACCAGGGAACACAAGGAUCUCAUUGAAAUAUAAGACAUGACUCCAUUUUGGGUUCUUUGUGCAUAAUAAUCAUCAGAUAAGAAGAGUCACUAUUUUUGGAGAAAUGAUUGCUUCUAAUAAACAGGAGGAGGUAGGGUUGCUUGUAUAUAAAAGAGGUAAAAUAAUAUAUAUGGGGUUUAAAGGAUCCAGUUGGACAUCUCUUGGUUCUCCCACACCAAUUGUAACCUCCCCUACCAAUUAUAAACCCAUAUCAGUUGUAAUUGUAACAACCCUGGCCUAGGAAGGGUAAAUUACCUAGGGCCCAGACCACUUAAGAAUGAGAGUUUGGGUCACACCACCUGGUAGACCCCAAGACCUGUAGAGGGGAUAGUUGAGAGAGGAAUUUAGAAUGGAUAGUGGAGGAGGGGGAAGAUGAGUACCUGUGUGGUCCUGAAACCAACUGAACCAAUGUAUGCUGUGGUUCACUCUGUUAACAUCUCUCUUCUAAGUUUCCCCUUAGGUAGAGGGGUCUACCAGAACCAUAAAGGAGCUUCUUCUGAACCUGUAUAGAUGUAUGUAUCUUUGUAGCGUAAGGGAUGGACUAUGGAAGCCAGUGAAGGUGCAUUGCUAAGAUCUCUAAAAGAGCCUACAGCAAAGAAGAUUUUUGGAUAGCAGUCUCCACCUGCCUUACCUUCCCAUCCUCAGCAGCAUUCAAACUGAGUCAUAUCCUUCCCAGGGAAGCUUCUAUCCAGUGACUGAGCAUGCUGGGGAGAUCACAACUACGUCAUUCCAUAAUCUCCUCAGGUUGUUUCAUAAGAGAGGAUGAGAAACAACAUGUAUCCAACAUUCUGAAGGAUGCCGUUAUGGUGUUGCCUAGGUGAUUCACUAGGAUGUAUUAUCAUGUUAUGCCUCAUAUUCUUUUCCAGUGAGUAGAAAUGGGAAAGAUGUUAAACAUGGAGAUUAAGCCUUUGGAAAACAAACUUGCAUCAUCACUCUGAUCAGGAAUGUGAAAAUAUUUAUUCGUCAUUUUUUCGUUGAAUUUUUUCAAUAACUUUAGACAAGUUCUGCCUAUUGCACUGCAUGAGGUAUUGAAGGAGAUGUAGCUAGAAGCAUUCAGCCUGGUUGAACAUACAGGAUAUAUACAUGUGACAUAAAUAUCAGAAGGGUAUAUCAUUAGGUGACAAAGCAAGUGAUACAGCUGGUAAAUACGAAGAGUUCACAGAUGCGCAUAAUUGGCAUGAACAAGACAGCCUGGGAAAUCUUACAAGAGGGAUAACAAAGGCUGGCUGUCAGGAAUGUCUUUGGCUUUUCAGUUUCCUUGGCAGAAACAUGGUGGAUUAAUGAAAAGGAACAUGUAGCCAAAUGACUCAAUAGGUAGAAAUAUUUGACUAUACCUAGCUCUGAAUGUAGGCUAAGGAGCCUUGAUAUGUAUUCUGAGUGGCAGGAGGGUAGAGGAACAAGAGUCCCUCUAUCUACGCAGAAAGCAGCCUUCAAUGGUAGAAGGUCACACUGGUUUUCUGUGAGCUGUAAACCCCAAACAUAAAAAUUACAAAGAGUAAUCAGAAAUAACUGACAGUGGCUUUAUAUACAUAGGCUCCUGUUUUUGCUUGCUCGUUUUUAUGUAACAAAAGGCCACAAGGAAACAUACACAGGGCAGGUAUGAAGACUUGGCUGCGCCUUACUAUUCUUCCAUCUCUACCAUGAGGCUUUCCAUCCUUACCAUGAGGUGACAACGUAGCAGCCAUGUUGCCAAACAAACAAGGAAAAGGAGAAAGGGCAAAUGAAAUGGGUUAAAAACAAAAACAAAAACAAAAAACAUGUGCAAAUAUGAGAAUCUGAGACUUAAAAAUGCUUUUUCCUAGAAAUUGUACCCACUUAAUCACUGCUCACAUUAACUUGCUUGACUGAGGUUGCAAGAUUAGCUUGAAGUGACAGCUUUAGCUGGACAAGUUGCUACCAACAGCAAAACUGAAAGUUGUUCUUGAAGAACAGUUGUUCUGUUCUUAUCAUAUAUAUUAAAUAUAUAUCAUAUGUAUUAAAUAUGAAUGCCUUCUCAUUGAAUGUUUGAAUCAAAAGGCAGUGGUGAAAGUUCCCAUUGUGGUUCAGUGGUAACAACGAGCCUGACUAGUAUCCGUGAGAAUGCCGGUUUGAUCCCUGGCGCUGCUCAGUGGGUUAAGGAUCCGGUGUUGCUGUGAGCUGUAUAGGUUGCAAAAGUGGCUCAGAUCCUGAGUUGCUGUGGCCAUGGCUGUGGCUGGCAGCUGUACUUCCAAUUUGACCCCUAGCCAGGGACUUCCAUAUGUUGCAAGUGUAGCCCU
rnacentral:lncRNA from 1 species